ensembl:lncRNA
CUUCCAUUUAAUAUAUGGGCCCCUUAUAACAUUCCUAAAUCCAUUGUAACACAAAGUGGAGAAGGAAUAAAGAACUCACCAGCGAUAGGUUUAGGUCCUGCAUCUCUUGGGCGAAGGUGAAAGUUCCCUCAUGGGACAGAGGAGGACAGAGGUCACGCGCUCGCACCCUACAGCUCCUGAGCGAACCACCUCAAGGUCCAUGGAACUUGGUUUUCCCUCAGGAAUAGGCCGAACACUAACCACAGCACUGGGCAACAAAGGCAAACUUUAACUCAGAAAGUCUGAAGGAAUCUGACAGACCCUAAGGACAGAACAUCAGCAAAGUCUUCCAAAUGUCUGCAGAAGAAACCUUGUGAGGUUAUGUCCAGAACCCUGCAAAUUAUGGAGGCAAAUGGCCUGCCCCCCCAACACUCGUGACUGUUUUUAGUCUCCUCUGCGCAAGUGCGUUCCCAGUCCCGCCUUCUCCGCCUCUGACACCUGGCCUCAUGGGAAGAGCAUCCCGGAACUUUCCAGACCACAUAGGCAGCCAUUUUGAGUGUGAGAGCGGCACAGGACUUGUCCUCCACAGGGCUCCUAACCUGCGCUGCAGCAAGGCGGUCUCCUGCAGAUUGAUCAGAAUGUGGUGUUACACACUUCAGUGUCAUAUAUGGAUAGGAGUGUGGAGUUCAGCCAGGAGGAGUGGCAGGACACGGGUCCUCUCUGAGGAUCCUCAGAAGAUCACCAGGAUGUGGUGCUGGAGAACUACAUUACUUCCUCAACAUUUCAGAGGGCAAGUUAACCUCAGUGACAGAGUAUGCGGUAUUUCCUGAUGGACUCUUACAUUGUAGAAGGAAGUUUCUGGUGAAAAUGUGGGACAGGCAUUGGAAUCCAGUCACUAAAGCUUAUGUGAAUGGACCCAGAGCAUUGACUCCAGAGGAACCUGGUACAUGGCCACCUGUACUACAGGCCCCAGAACUACUGGGAGAGGUCAGCCUGUGGUAGCUGCAGGAAAGCCCUUGCCUCUCGGUGAGGCAGAUGGCUUGCCAGCAUCACAUGCUUGCUGGCUGGGGCAGAGCCAGAAGUCACACAUUGCCAGAUCUGGUGAAUAAGGUGCAGGAGGCCAUACCACCAUGUUUUUAUGAGCCUGCCUGUCCAAUUGGAUGGCACUCGGCAGCAAUAUUCACUGUCUUUUUCAUCACACCUUGUAAAGAUACUUAUGAAAGAAGACUUCCAAAAGUGCUUCAGAAAGAGGCUCCCGAGGGAAACUGAGACAGCUGGUCCUGGCUUGCACUGAGCAGCAGAAGUUUACAGGGCAUAAUCAAGGACCAGACCCACAUCAAAUGGCAAGAGGAGCAGUGUAGGAGUCAAAGAUCCUGCUCUGGCAGCUCUCUCCCCAGAGGCAGAGCCCCAAGCUGGCUGGCUUCUGGAUCUGUUGCCAUGCUGCCCUAAAUCGUCAGGCAUGGUGGCCUGAACAGGAUCAGGUAAACAAUGUCUAAUGCUAAGGGUACUUUGAGAAGUUUCAGUUUGUAUUACAGAACAUCUGCAGAAUAUUUAAUUGGAGACAAACAUAGUGAAGAAAAUAAGCAAACUCAUCACUGUAAGAUAUAACCACCAUUUCUAUUUUGAUACUUCUCACAGUGACAAUUCAUAUGCACUAAAGGGUUUUGCAAAUUUUGAAUUGCACAACUUUGCAGCUUGCUUUCUUUAGUUAUAUCAUGAAGUGUUAUCAUGCAAUGGGAUACUCUUUGAAAUACUUUUUUCAGUUGCAUAAUGUUUCAUUUCUGCCUU